UGGCAGUCUCGUUGUCACAUAGCAUAAUAAAAUAACGGGAGCCUAAGUUGUUAGAAUUAUUUGUUUUGGUUUAAUGGGCUAAGCCUUACGGUGUGAAAUUCCAUUUUCGUCAAGAACAACUCGGGGAUUAAUCAUCGAAAUGCGUUCCCCCUUCUCAUUUCUAUGUUCGCUUGCUCUGGAAAAAUUUAAUGGAGGAGGCGUAGAUGCACGAGCUUUGGGUUUUUCUUUUCUUGAGGCACUAUCAUUGCUGGAAUUAGAAAGCAGGUAAGAAGAUUUCUCAGGAUAAGCUCCAACUGGCGCGACCGAAGAGGGAAGGGAGUGAGCAUAAGGUUCAAGCAAACUAGGGGAGUGAGAUGCACGAGUAUUAGCAGGUACAAAAGGAUACCUUGUUGAACCACUGCUUGCAAUACCAUGACGAGUGUCUUCAUGAGAAAGUUGGGGGGAAGAUCGAACAGGAUAGGAAGAGUAACCAGCUUGGUAUGCUGAAGCGGAUGAAGGAACUUCAGAAGCUAAAGUGUAAGGAGGCCUUCUGUAUACUUCUUCUUCAACAUAACGAGAACUUCCAACAACCACUGGGUCCGCAAGCCGUCUAGGGGGAGGACUAAGUGUGCGUCGCUUGGGAGGAGGUUGUAUGCCAUGCAAACGAGAACGGCUAUCAUAGUAAGCAGAGGAUUCCGAACCUGCAUGAUAAUAAUGUGGAGCAUCAGUUGAAUAAGAAGAGUAAGGAGGCUGACUUUCUGGAUAAGAUCCCGAAGUGUGAUAAAGCAUAGACUCACGACGAAGGGAUCGAAAAUAAGGCCAUUCGUAGGAGUGACCAUAGUCAGUGCAAUGCCUGCUAAAAUCAUAUUUACCAUGUUUAAUUAAGCGGGGAUCAUCUACCAUCAAUCUUCUACCGAUAGGAGCGUCAUGUGACUCUGGUGCAGGUCUUUUCAGAGGUGAAGAAAAGUUGUUUGAACCUGAAGUAGAUAGAACACUUGACGCAACAGGCUCUCCGGUAUGAGUAGUCCAUACGCUUCUAGUAUCGCCCGAUUCGUUCAAUGACGGUGGAGCUAUAUAAGGUGGUUAGUAAAAUUCUCGACAAAAUUAAACAGUAGGAGGUUUUAGGCGAAAAGUCAGUCAAUUUUCAAUGACACUAUUUUACAUUCCUCUCUGAUAUUUUAAACAAUAAUCUACUUACGCCACAGGCUUCGCAGAGCUUCCAAAUUUGGAAGUUCCGGAAUGGACUUUGAUGACCUAGAAGUAGAGAAGUUUGUGUUUGACAUUCAAAUUUCUUUUAUGUGUGAUAAAAAGUAUAAUCUUUUUUUUUUGAAAUCCUCUUUAAAAUGCUAAAAAUUUGUAAAUUGAGUAACGGAAAAUGAGUUGAAGCCAGAAGAUUGUGAUAAAUAUUAAAUUAAGUUAAUAAAUAUUCACCAAAAUCCCUUGCUUUAUAUUUUUUUUACAAAAAAAAAUAAAGAGAGAACCAAAAAAACCCCCCAAAAAACAAAAUUGCUGGUCAAUACACUAACUGAAUUUAUAUCAACCACUAU